GGGAUUGCCCCAGUAACGGCGAGUGAAGCGGCAACAGCUCAAAUUUGAAAUCUGGCCCUCCCCGGGGGGCCCGAGUUGUAAUUUGCAGAGGAUGCUUUGGGCGAGGCGCCUUCCGAGUUCCCUGGAACGGGACGCCACAGAGGGUGAGAGCCCCGUCUGGUCGGACGCCGAGCCUCUGUAAAGCUCCUUCGACGAGUCGAGUAGUUUGGGAAUGCUGCUCAAAAUGGGAGGUAUAUGUCUUCUAAAGCUAAAUACCGGCCAGAGACCGAUAGCGCACAAGUAGAGUGAUCGAAAGAUGAAAAGCACCUUGAAAAGGGGGUUAAACAGUACGUGAAAUUGUUGAAAGGGAAGCGCUCGUGACCAGACUUGGGGCGGGCGGAUCAGCCGGCGUUCUCGCCGGCGCACUCCGCCCGUCCCAGGCCAGCAUCAGUUCGCGCCGGGGGACAAAGGCGGCGGGAAUGUGGCUCCCCAGGGAGUGUUAUAGCCCGCCGCGCCAUGCCCCGGGGGCGGACUGAGGGCCGCGCAUCACUGCAAGGAUGCUGGCGUAAUGGUCACCAGCGACCCGUCUUGAAACACGGGCCAAGGAGUCGUCCUCGUAUGCGAGUGUUCGGGUGUCAAACCCCUACGCGGAAUGAAAGUGAACGUGGGUGAGAGCUUCGGCGCAUCAUCGACCGAUCCUGAUGUUCUCGGAUGGAUUUGAGUAGGAGCAUACGGGGCCGGACCCGAAAGAAGGUGAACUAUGCCUGUGUAGGGUGAAGCCAGAGGAAACUCUGGUGGAGGCUCGCAGCGGUUCUGACGUGCAAAUCGAUCGUCAAACAUGGGCAUGGGGGCGAAAGACUAAUCGAA
rnacentral:rRNA from 1 species